GAUGAACGCUAGCGGCAGGCUUAAUACAUGCAAGUCGAGGGGCAGCAUGAUUGUAGCAAUACAAUUGAUGGCGACCGGCAAACGGGUGCGGAACACGUACACAACCUUCCAAUAAGUGGGGAAUAGCCCAGAGAAAUUUGGAUUAAUACCCCGUAACAUAACGAUGUGGCAUCACAUUGUUAUUAUAGAUUUUUCGCUUAUUGAUGGGUGUGCGGCUGAUUAGAUAGUUGGCGGGGUAACGGCCCACCAAGUCUACGAUCAGUAGCUGAUGUGAGAGCAUGAUCAGCCACACGGGCACUGAGACACGGGCCCGACUCCUACGGGAGGCAGCAGUAAGGAAUAUUGGACAAUGGACGCAAGUCUGAUCCAGCCAUGCCGCGUGAAGGAUUAAGGUCCUCUGGAUUGUAAACUUCUUUUAUAAGGGACGAAAAAAGGCUUUUCUAAGUCGUCUGACGGUGCCUUAUGAAUAAGCACCGGCUAACUCCGUGCCAGCAGCCGCAGUAACAC
rnacentral:rRNA from 1 species